ACGGGGCCCGGCCGACAAGCGGUGGAGGUAUGUGGUUUAAUUCGAUGCAACGCGAAGAACCUACCUGGUCUUGACAUCCGGAGACCUUAGGAACUAGGGGUGCUUCCAUCUGGAAGAAUCUGGAGACAGGUGCUGCAUGGCUGUCGUCAGCUCGUGUCGUGAGAUGUUGGGUUAAGUCCCGCAACGAGCGCAACCCUUGCCUUUAGUUGCCAGCAGUUCGGCUGGGCACUCUAAAGGGACUGCCGGUGUUAAACCGGAGGAAGGUGGGGAUGACGUCAAGUCCUCAUGGCCUUUAUGACCAGGGCUACACACGUACUACAAUGGCCGAUACAAAGGGCAGCGACACUGCGAGGUGAAGCCAAUCCCGUAAAAUCGGUCUCAGUCCGGAUUGGAGUCUGCAACUCGACUCCAUGAAGUUGGAAUCGCUAGUAAUCGUGGAUCAGCAUGCCACGGUGAAUACGUUCCCGGGCCUU
rnacentral:rRNA from 1 species